CCGCCGCCGGGAAGCGCUGAUCCUCGCAGGCUGUGACGGUCGCCUCGAGUCGGCCUCGUGUCGAUUCGACUUGCGAGGGGAGCGAGUGGCGAGCCCGCCCCGGGUGUCC
rnacentral:ncRNA from 1 species